rnacentral:rRNA from 1 species
AGUGAACGCUGGCGGUAGGCCUAACACAUGCAAGUCGAACGGCAGCACAGGAGAGCUUGCUCUCUGGGUGGCGAGUGGCGGACGGGUGAGGAAUACAUCGGAAUCUACUUUUUCGUGGGGGAUAACGUAGGGACACUUACGCUAAUACCGCAUACGACCUACGGGUGAAAGCAGGGGAUCUUCGGACCUUGCGCGAUUGAAUGAGCCGAUGUCGGAUUAGCUAGUUGGCGGGGUAAAGGCCCACCAAGGCGACGAUCCGUAGCUGGUCUGAGAGGAUGAUCAGCCACACUGGAACUGAGACACGGUCCAGACUCCUACGGGGGGCAGCAGUGGGGAAUAUUGGACAAUGGGCGCAAGCCUGAUCCAGCCAUACCGCGUGGGUGAAGAAGGCCUUCGGGUUGUAAAGCCCUUUUGUUGGGAAAGAAAUCCAGCUGGUUAAUACCCGGUUGGGAUGACGGUACGCAAAGAAUAAGCACCGGCUAACUUCGUGCCAGCCGCCGCCGUAA